rnacentral:rRNA from 1 species
AUACGUAGGGUGCAAGCGUUAAUCGGAAUUACUGGGCGUAAAGCGUGCGCAGGCGGUUUUGUAAGACAGUGGUGAAAUCCCCGGGCUCAACCUGGGGACUGCCAUUGGGACUGCAAGGCUGGAGUGCGGCAGAGGGGGAUGGAAUUCCGCGCGUAGCAGUGAAAUGCGUAGAUAUGCGGAGGAACACCGAUGGCGAAGGCAAUCCCCUGGGCCUGCACUGACGCUCAUGCACGAAAGCGUGGGGAGCAAACAGGAUUAGAUACCCUGGUAGUCCACGCCCUAAACGAUGUCAACUGGUUGUUGGGGAUUUAUUUUCUCAGUAACGAAGCUAACGCGUGAAGUUGACCGCCUGGGGAGUACGGCCGCAAGGUUAAAACUCAAAUGAAUUGGCGGGG